UACGGAGGAUGCGAGCGUUAUCCGGAUUUAUUGGGUUUAAAGGGUGCGUAGGCGGGAUGCCAAGUCAGCGGUCAAAUACGGGGGCUCAACCCCGGCCUGCCGUUGAAACUGGCGGCCUCGAGUGGGCGAGAAGUAUGCGGAAUGCGUGGUGUAGCGGUGAAAUGCAUAGAUAUCACGCAGAACGCCGAUUGCGAAGGCAGCUUACCGGCGCUCAACUGACGCUGAGGCACGAAAGUGCGGGUAUCGAACAGG
rnacentral:rRNA from 1 species